GGGGCAAAAACUCAGUGAUAGAGUGCUUCGUUUGCAUUAAAGAGUCCUUAAGCACAGACGCGUGCGGUUAGCCGCCCACUAACCACACGUUCACGUCUUCUGGUUCGAUUCGAAGAAGUCGUGAGUUCAAUCCUCACUUGCUCCG